rnacentral:rRNA from 1 species
UACGUAGGGUGCGAGCGUUAAUCGGAAUUACUGGGCGUAAAGCGUGCGUAGUCGGUUAUUUAAGUCGGGUGUGAAAGCCCCGGGCUCAACCUGGGAAUUGCAUUCGAUACGUGGAUAGCUAGAGUCGGCAGGAGGGAAGCGGAAUUUCCGGUGUAGCGGUGAAAUGCGUAGAGAUCGGGAGGAAGGCCGGUGGCGAAGGCGGCGCUCUGGAACGUACCUGACGCUGAGACACGAAAGCGUGGGGAGCAAACAGG